rnacentral:sRNA from 1 species
UAACAGUAACUGCGCGCCCUCUGCCAUC